rnacentral:rRNA from 1 species
CCAGACUCCUACGGGAGGCAGCAGUGGGGAAUAUUGCACAAUGGGGGAAACCCUGAUGCAGCGACGCCGCGUGAGUGAAGAAGUAUCUCGGUACGUAAAGCUCUAUCAGCAGGGAAGAAAAUGACGGUACCUGACUAAGAAGCCCCGGCUAACUACGUGCCAGCAGCCGCGGUAAUACGUAGGGGGCAAGCGUUAUCCGGAUUUACUGGGUGUAAAGGGAGCGUAGACGGUUACGCAAGUCUGGAGUGAAAGGCGGGGGCCCAACCCCCGGACUGCUUUGGAAACUGUAUAACUGGAGUGCAGGAGAGGUAAGUGGAAUUCCUAGUGUAGCGGUGAAAUGCGUAGAUAUUAGGAGGAACACCAGUGGCGAAGGCGGCUUGCUGGACUGUAACUGACACUGAGGCUCGAAAGCGUGGGGAGCAAACAGGAUUAGAUACCCCCGUA